CCCUUUGCCGCGCCCUAAUGCCAUGACAAGUCUGUCCCGCCAUUGCUUUCCGUUGCACUUUAGCCUGCCUUUGUCCCUUAAUUUUUGCCUUGCCUUGCCUUGGCAUCACUGCCUCAUGUCUUGAUGUAUUUGCUAUGAUCAAGUGUCACAUUCAAUCCGCAUUUCAUUGUCAAGCUCUUGCAAAGCUGUUUUGUCUCCGUCAAAG
rnacentral:lncRNA from 1 species